UACGUAGGGUCCGAGCGUUUGUCCGGAAUUACUGGGCGUAAAGAGCUCGUAGGUGGUUUGUCGCGUUGUUCGUGAAAACUCACAGCUCAACUGUGGGCGUGCGGGCGAUACGGGCAGACUUGAGUACUGCAGGGGAGACUGGAAUUCCUGGUGUAGCGGUGGAAUGCGCAGAUAUCAGGAGGAACACCGGUGGCGAAGGCGGGUCUCUGGGCAACAACGUGACGCUGAGGAGCGAAAGCGUGGGGAGCGAACAGG
rnacentral:rRNA from 1 species